AUGUAGGGCAAUCUGUCUUUAAGCAGGGAUAAAUGACUCUAAAAGAAAUGAAUCCUACAUAGUUUUCCCUUCAAGUCAAAUGUAUUGU
rnacentral:pre_miRNA from 1 species